AAUAAAACUAUGGGAGACAUGAGUACCUUAAAGGUUAUAAGAACGUCAUUGUAAUCAUUAACAUAAAAUCCACAAAAUGAGCUGGUUCUAUAGACAGAGUGUGGAAAAAAGACCACACUUUUUCCCACCCAACACACACACACACACACACACACACACACACACACACACACACACCCCUUCUACAGAGGCAGAACUGAAACUUCCUUCAGAGACCCUGGUAAAACCGAGCAUUACCCACUUUAUGAUACGUGUUAGACUAGGCUGAACUGGGGUGAGCACAGGCUCUAAUACCUCGAUGUCCCCAGUCACUAAAAAGUUCCAAAGCUGAAUUUGACUCCAAAGUCUGUUGGGAUCUCAGAUGUUUCUCUUAGCCCCAAUAGACAAUGUCAACCCCUCUACAGAAGCUUAGAAAGCCAUUAGAUACUUCCAGAGCCCUGAAGACACGGUCUGGGUGGGGUUAGUCUCCAGGGAGAUUAAUAGGAACAGGCAAUGGCAAUGCACUAACAGAAGGCCCUGGCUGUGGCUUGAUUUCUCAGUGCACUGAGGAAGCAGCUGCAGAGAGCCCAUAAACUUGACUGGAACUCAAAACUAGAGCUAGUGACACUUUGCAUCCUCAGCCAAGCUGGGGUACUCCCUCAAAGGACCCAAGCAAGAGGUAGGAGCCAAGGACGAUGAAAGGUAGUGCUAGCAUAGGAUGUGAAUUUCCUUCUCUUUGACAUUGCAUCAUAAUAUGAUUUUUCCAUCCCUAUCUUGAAAUACUUGAUUUCCCUUAUUGACAGUGUGAUAUAAAGUCCUCAAAGGGAGAGGGGCUGGGUCCAGUGAACCCUAAUAAUCCCCAGUGGCCUUGAACUGGUUGCUUAGUAACCCCCAUGCACCACCUACUCUACCUUUUGGUUCCAAACAAGAUAAAACUUUACCUUUUAUUAGGGUAUGAGACCAACACUUAAGAGACAGGGGAUCUCUCAUAGAAGUCUAACCCUGCUGAGCUUAUGAAGAUAAAUAAGAAAUUCAGAGAAACUUGUAUCACAUGGGGAAUCUCACAAAUUUUCAACAAAUAUUUAAUCUCUACAGACCACUUAAACAUGUUAGUCACAAGAAAAACAAAGGCAUAAUGCUCUUUUUCAAAUUCCCUGUUCUGAUCCUACAUGGAAAAUAUAAUAAUCUCAUUUGUAAUGAGAGAGGAAAUCAUUUGUUCUUAAGAAAAAAGUCAUUUGAAAAGGCCAUAUUCUGGAUGCUACAAAAAUGUGUUUGCUCAUUUUAGGAGUGAAAAAAGACAGUAAGUAGACACAUGCAUAUCUUACAGAAAUAAAUAUGUAUAUUUGCACAUAUGUGUAAACCUGCAUUUUUUCCCCUGAUUCCUAUUUGAUCCACAUAGCAGAUACAAGCCUUAUUGCUUUAUUUCAUAGGAUAAUCACACUUGAACCUGGAACAGACCUCUGUAUCCAAACUGUACAUUUUACGGAUUGGCCAAAUGAGGCCUAAGACAGUUCAAAGUGAUUUCUGCAAGACCACGUGGCUGCAAGGUCAUACAAGACAGAAUGGAAACCUGUAUUCCCUAACUCCUGGCCCACUGCUGUUUCCAAAGAACCAUAAAGUCUCUACUGAGAUCCCAUAUAGCUUGGUUAAAAAGCAUAAAACGUCCUUUCACUGCUCCAUCUGUAAUAGCCGGUGUAUGGAAGACACAGCACACACCAAAGGUGUGGUGGUGUUAGGAGAACAACUGCCCUGCUGUGGCUUUCAGGGAUGGCACUGCCCUCAAGUCCCUCAGUUCCAACAAAGUUGACACUGUGGAAAACACGCAUCUGCAGGUGAGAGAGGAAGGGAGAAAGUGAGGGAGAGAAACAUCAUUAUGAGAGAGAAACAUCGACUGGUUGCCUCCCGUGUGUGCCCUGACCGAUCCAGGAUCAAACCUGCAACCUAGGCAUAUGAUUGCAUAGGCACAUAUGCAGAGUUCCAAAAAGACAUCCCAUUUGAUGUCCGUGCUGAAGAACUUCAAUGAAAAGGUUAUCUGGCUUGGAGGCUGCAAGAUCUAUGGCCACAACGCUUACACACCUGACAUGUCUGAGAAGUUAGUGAGUCUGAAGAUGCACAAAAACAUUUCCCAUGACUUAAUCUGCAUGGAGAAAGUGGAAGGAAAAAAAGAGGUAGAAGAGACAAAGUGUGUGCACCUUAGGGACGGGCCCUUCCAAGUGGAUUCACGUAUCCUUGCUGAAAGAACUACUAGAGGAUAAACUUUACAAGGAAAUUAAACCCUGAAGGAAGGAGAGGAAUAAAAGGAGCAAUGCAAACACAUAGAGAGGGAGAUACAAUGAAGAAGGGGUACAAGAAGUUUAACCAACAAGAUGCUGGAGAAACUCUUUGCUGGUACAAACUUGGAGCAACUCAACCAAAUCACGCACGACCAAAGAAAACUGCACACUAUCCAAGCUCCAACUAAAGAAAAAUGCCCAUUGGAGAUGUCAGCUUUAAGAUUUUGUUUUCUUUAUUUGGGCUCCAAGGCAAAAGACCAUCAACUGACAUCAUCUGUAAACUGUCUGGUUCAUUGAAUUCCUGAAACAUGAUAUUGAUUUUUUGAAAACAAAUUAAUUUAGAUGCUGCACUAAUAAUUAUAUUUGGGCUAUCA